UACAGAGGGUGCGAGCGUUAAUCGGAAUACUGGGCGUAAAGCGUGCGCAGGCGGUCUAUUAAGACAGGUGUGAAAUCCCCGGGCUUAACCUGGGAACUGCGCUUGUAACUGAUAGGCUUGAGUGUGGCAGAGGGGGGUGGAAUUCCAGGUGUAGCAGUGAAAUGCGUAGAUAUCUGGAGGAACACCGAUGGCGAAGGCAGCCCCCUGGGCUAACACUGACGCUCAUGCACGAAAGCGUGGGGGAGCAAACAGG
rnacentral:rRNA from 1 species